rnacentral:rRNA from 1 species
GACGAACGCUGGCGGCGUGCUUAACACAUGCAAGUCGAACGAAGAGCGAUGGAAGCUUGCUUCUAUCAAUCUUAGUGGCGAACGGGUGAGUAACGCGUAAUCAACCUGCCCUUCAGAGGGGGACAACAGUUGGAAACGACUGCUAAUACCGCAUACGAUCUAAUCUCGGCAUCGAGGAUAGAUGAAAGGUGGCCUCUACAUGUAAGCUAUCACUGAAGGAGGGGAUUGCGUCUGAUUAGCUAGUUGGAGGGGUAACGGCCCACCAAGGCGAUGAUCAGUAGCCGGUCUGAGAGGAUGAACGGCCACAUUGGGACUGAGACACGGCCCAGCCUCCUACGGGAGGCAGCAGUGGGGAAUCUUCCGCAAUAGACGAAAGUCUGACGGAGCAACGCCGCGUGAGCGAUGACGGCCUUCGGGUUGUAAAGCUCUGUUAAUCGGGACGAAAGGCCUUCUUGCGAAUAGUGAGAAGGAUUGACGGUACCGGAAUAGAAAGCCACGGCUAACUACGUG